CCACGUGAUGCCACAGCUGCCAGGCCUAAGGCAGAUAAAAGGAGGUUGCUUUGACACAUCCAGGCUCUUGCAGGAAGCACAGAGGGAAAUACCUGUCACAGAAGCAACAGGAGAGCAGCAUGUCGAAGCAGAAAGAAGAAACAUUGGCAGAAUGGGCUCCUUUGACCACAGACUGGUACUGGACCUUUGGUUCAACAAAUUCAAGGUGAUAUCAUUUCUACCGCGAAUCUGUCGUGACACACGGUUCCAGAGAACCUGCAAAAACAACCCUGCCUAAAUUUUCGGAAUUCUGCCUCAGCAGCCCGUCAACAUCUGAAGGGGAGCAGGUGUGAGCGGCACGAAGCAGGAAAAUUUGUGCAGAUGGCACGGCGGUCAAGCGAGGAAACUCUCUAUUCCCCUCUGAUUUGACGCUUGUGGAUAGUGUGAAAAUACCAGUCGGGAUUAAGUGUGGCCUGCUAAUGUUCUUUAUUGACUCAGGAAAAAUGCACCAAAUGAACGGCUGGCCGUACCACCCAGAGAUAUGCAACAUCUGUGAAUGUUCCAUCAAAUUAGGGCUUCCUUGUAGCAAUACGGACAAAUUCAAGCCAAGUGGAGGAGCUCGGGAGCCAAAAAUAGAUGAAACGACUGAGCCCUUUCUCUGUGUUGUGCCAGAGGCGUACUGUACUGUUUUUCUUAGAGAAUGUUUGCAUUUGUAAAGGCAAAUGGCAGACUUUCCCAGGCAGGUGCAGAAUUGUUAUAUUAAGUUGUCGAUAUGAAAAUUAGACACUCACGAUUCAUUAUUCCAAUAUUUACAAAGUCGCCAUAUUUCACACAGCCUGAAUUGAUGUAAAGCCUGUCAAUAUUUUUGUUUGGCGACAUCUUUGAUGUAUGAACACAAAAGACAUUUUGCCAGAGCUAAUGAUUCAAAACUCUCACUAAGACCAACAGCCGAAAAAUUUUCCUUCUACAUCUUCUAUCUCCACCUUCUUAACGGCUUAUUGAAGAUGGCUUUCCAUUUUGUGUUUUAA